rnacentral:rRNA from 1 species
AGUCACCGCUAUUGGGAUUCGGCUAAGCCAUGCAAGUGGCGGGCGUCCCGAAAGGGAUGGCCCCGCGCACGGCUCAGUAACACGUAGUUAACCUAACCUCGGGACGGGGAUAACGCCGGGAAACUGGCGAUAAUCCCCGAUAGGUGAGAGACGCUGGAAUGCCUUCUCGCCCAAAUCCUCCGGGGCCCGAGGAUGGAACUGCGGCCUAUCAGGCUGUUGGUGGUGUAACGGACUACCAAACCGACAACGGGUACGGGCGAUGUGAGUCGGAGCCCGGAGAUGGGGACUGAGACAAGGCCCCAGGCCCUACGGGGCGCAGCAGGCGCGAAAACUCCGCAAUGUGCGAAAGCAUGACGGGGGAAUCCCAAGUGCCGUUGGUCUUUUGAUCGGCGGCUUUUCGGGAGUGUAAAAAGCUCUCGGAAUAAGGGCUGGGCAAGUCUGGUGCCAGCCGCCGCGGUAAUACCAGCAGCCCAAGUGGUGGCCGCGAUUAUUGGGCCUAAAGCGCUCGUAGCCGGGCUAGCAAGUCCUUUGUGAAAUCGGACGGCCUAACCGUUCGGCAUGCAAGGGAUACUGCUGGUCUUGAGGCCGGGAGACGUCUGAGGUACUCCGGGGGUAGCGGUGAAAUGCUCUAAUCCUUGGGGGACCACCAGUGGCGAAGGCGUCAGACGAGAACGGACCUGACGGUGAGGGGCGAAGGCUAGGGGCGCGAACGGGAUUAGAUACCCCGGUAGUCCUAGCUGUAAAGCAUGCGGGCCAGGUGUCUAGUGUUCCUCGAGAGCACUAGGUGCCGGAGGGAAGCCGUUAAGCCCGCCGCCUGGGAAGUACGGCCGCAAGGCUGAAACUUAAAGAAAUUGGCGGGGGAGCACACAAGAGGUGGGACCUGCGGUUC